GAUUUCUGGCGUUUCAUUUCAGGCCGGCCACGGUUUCGUGUGUUAGUGCUUGAGAUCUUCGCCAUCCUUCCAAUGGCUAUUCAUCCUUCUUCAUUGAAGGUGUGAGUGGUAUUGGAUCUUUUACUUUGAAAAAAUUAGAGUGUUUCAAGCAGGCUUUAUGCUAUGAAUACAUUAGCAUGGAAUAAUAAUUUAGGACUUCGGUUCUAUUUUGUUGGUUUCUAGGACUGAAGUAAUGAUUGAUAGGGAUAGUUGGGGGUGCUAGUAUUCAGCGGCCAGAGGUGAAAUUCUCGGAUUCGCUGAAGACUAACUCAUGCGAAAGCAUUCACCAAGGAUGUCUUCUUUAAUCAAGAACGAAAGUUGGGGGAUCGAAGACGAUCAGAUACCGUCGUAGUCUCAACCAUAAACUAUGCCGACUAGGGAUGAGUGAACGUUGCAUUUUCGACUUCAUUCGCACCUUAUGAGAAAUCAAAGUCUUUGGGUUCCGGGGGGAGUAUGGUCGCAAGGCUGAAACUUAAAGG
rnacentral:rRNA from 1 species